UACGGAGGGAGCUAGCGUUGUUCGGAAUUACUGGGCGUAAAGCGCACGUAGGCGGCUUUUUAAGUCAGGGGUGAAAUCCCGGGGCUCAACCCCGGAACUGCCCUUGAAACUAGGAAGCUAGAAUCUUGGAGAGGCGAGUGGAAUUCCGAGUGUAGAGGUGAAAUUCGUAGAUAUUCGGAAGAACACCAGUGGCGAAGGCGACUCGCUGGACAAGUAUUGACGCUGAGGUGCGAAAGCGUGGGGAGCAAACAGG
rnacentral:rRNA from 1 species